GAGAUUGUUCGCCCCCAUCGGAGAAGGCUUGGUGUUAGAUCUUACCUAUCAUGAGAUCGGGGGUGUGGUUGAAAGACAGCAGUAAGAAAGAGCCAUGGAGUAUUAGUAGAGAAAAGCUGCUGUCUGCAGAAAGAGUCAGGAGUCAGGAAUCCGGAAUAGCUUCGUAGAGAGGGCGUAGUACUGAUGCAGCUCGAGGUAGAAAGCGAUGGUAGAAGUUUAGCAUUCCAAGAAAUUCUUGGAGUGCUUUGUACACGGCCAGUCGAGUACAUGUAGAAAACUUCGGAGAGUAAAGACCUACUUACAUUGGUGACCCCGACGUGAUUUGGCAUGUACGGGUGGACCAGUGGUGGGGAUGAAAUGAGAAACACCGUGCUUCACUUCGGAGGCCGAAAAGGUUGGCUCGAGGAUUUCAGGAAACUCUGUUAAUAUCUUCCAAAUGUGUGGAUCUGUCGCAACCAGUACGUGUUGCUCAGGCACUAAGACGUGGGCGACCUCCGUCUUCAUCCCUUGUGAAUCCAAGCGCAAAUACUAACCAUUCAACCCCGCCUAGCCAAGCUAUACAAUCCGCUCCUGUUACUCGACAGGAACCACAACAUGCAGGCUGAAAGGCCAACACGGUACCUCGCAGAGCAUAGAAAAUGUGAAAUGUACAUCCCGGCGGCGGCCGCCGCACUGUUUUGGCAGAGGCGCGCCAAUGUGUUGUAAACUAUGUGAAACCGGCAGUACGGAAAUAAAAGUUCAAAUCGGUAAAAAAAAAAA